UGUGUAUCAGUACAUGGCAUAUCAAUAAGCGGAGGAAAAGAAACUAACAAGGAUUCCCUUAGUAACGGCGAGUGAAGCGGGAAGAGCUCAAAUUUGAAAUCUUCAAGGUUCUACCUUGACGAAUUGUAGUUUAUAAGAAGUGUUUUCUGUUAGUAGAGUGGCAAAAGUUCUUUGGAAUAGGACAUCAUAGAGGGUGAGAAUCCCGUAUUUGGUCAUUCCUUCUAGCUUUGUGAUACACUUUCAAAGAGUCGGAUUGUUUGGGAAUGCAGUCCAAAAUGGGUGGUAAAUUUCAUCUAAAGCUAAAUAUUGGCGAGAGACCGAUAGCGAACAAGUACCGUGAGGGAAAGAUGAAAAGAACUUUGAAAAGAGAGUUAAACAGUACGUGAAAUUGUCAAAAGGGAAGCGUUUGACACCAGUGUUGUUUUUCCGAAAAUCAAUUAAGAAUGUUUUAUUUUUGAGGAGUUAUGACUUCAUCGGCUUGCUCUCUUCUUUAUGAAACUUUCUUAAUGCACUUUUCGGUUAACAAGUCAACAUCAAUUUCUUUUGUUGUAAAAGAGUAUGAGGAAGGUGGCUUUCCUUUUCGGAGAAAGUGUUUAUAGCCCUUGUACUUCUGCAAUCGGAGAGAUUGAGGUCUGCAGCGUAGAUCCUUCGGGGUUAGAUACAUUUGUGCUAAGUUAUAGCUUUUCAUAGACAACUUGUUGAUUAUGAUUAGUCUUGUAGCUUACUCGCUUAUGCUAUUUUACCUACGCUUAGGAUGUUGACAGCAGUAUAGACUGU
rnacentral:rRNA from 1 species